UGAGGGCAGGGUCUUUUAUAAAGUGGAGGGCUCUCCAGUAUGCCAAAAGGGAAGAACAUCUUUUGUCCAAGUACACAAGGAAUUGUCCCACCCUCCAAAGAGUGAGAAAAGACAUCAGCAAGGAUGGAUGGAAGGCCAAUCACCCCUCCCAGAAGGACAUCGUGGCUAAAUGGCAACCGCCUGAAAGAAAAACAGUUGAGAGUGAUCCAAAGAUUUUGAAGAAUAUCCGAAAACAAAAGUGGUCACGUCUGACCAUCAAGGACUUUGGUGGUACCAAAGGAGAAGGAGUUGUUGCCACCAAACCGUUUCUGAAAGGUUCCAUCCUGUGUGAUUACCACGGAAGGAUCAUCACAGCAGCAGAUGGGGAGGAGAGUCAGAAAACCGUCGAUGAGCAGAAGUGCUACCUCUU